rnacentral:lncRNA from 1 species
AUUACUUGAGAAUUACACAGCAUUUAGAAGAAAAUUCUUCCCUAUAUCCUUCAAGGGUAUAAUAGGUCAGUAGCAUGGUUCAAACUAAUACCAUUUACAACAUUCAAACCCUACUUGCAGCAAAAACAUUUUAUCCACCACCUAUAAAACAGGCUCUCUAACACAAUAUGUUCACCUUAUCUUCCAUUAUAGGGCAUUUCAAGAAGAAAUUACAGAUAAUCAAGCUACCCCUUUUAUUAUACUGAAACAAUAUUCGUGCUAUAAAGAGCAUGAGAAUUGAUGACGGGAUUUAAGUUGCCCUAACAAGAUGUGAAGUGCACUUCCAAAAUGCUUAUAGAGAACUGCAGCAGCAAACGAUUGACCAUAAGACUAGAGUGACAGCACUAGCUGAAACAAUCUUGUGGAUUGCAGAUAUAUCAGUAGUAACUGGGAACACUUUUGCAUAUUGACUUUUAGAUAGCUUAUAGCUGCAUAAUAACAAUAAUAAACAAUCAAUCAUCACUAUUUAGUUAGAUGCUUAGUCGGGCAGACUUGCUCCAUGUGCCAAGUAAACAUAUGUAAAAAGUUUUAACCAUUUGUGGGAUUGACCAGAAUCUUAAGCUCAGCAUGCAAUGCAUCAAGUGGUUUUGAGUAGAAUUUCUUUGAAAUCGUGCAGUUUUCUAGUAAUUUUGGUUGUUCAAACAAGACUCUGCCAAGAUAAUAGUAGACUUUCCCCAUAGGCAGAAAAAAAGAAAUCAUCUUAUAAUCAUGAAGAAACAUAUCAGAGAUGCACACUAGCAACAAAGCAAUGGGGGAGUCAUGCUGUUAAGAUGCCAACUAGAGACAAAGGGAGAUUAACGCAGACCGCAUGUUGAUUUUUUAUAUUCAUUAGAAACAUUGCAGAUUCCAACACUUCUAAACUUAUCACUUUUUAUAUGAGUGGGCAACAAAAAAGACUGUUUGCAUGUGAGAUGAGCAAUUAAUUAAUUUCAAAUCACCAAACAAUUCAAAGUGUGUCACUCAUCAAUCAGCAGGUUGAAAUGAAGCAGAUACUCCCAACAUCAUGUGCUGUCUGCUGUGUUCAUGCACAAAUUCAUUCACAUUAUACAAAUUAAAGCUCAAGAUCAAUUUGCACCCAAUCAUAAUAAUGUCAGAGAUACAGAUAACUAGCUGCAUGCCAACAAAAACAAAAGACAAACAGACCCAUAGAGACAAAUGAGGAAAAGAAAAGAGGCCAAAUAAAGAUCAUUUGAAAGUAGAAGGGUGAAUACACACAAAAGCACAUCCUCAGAUAUACAAGCUUCAAUUU